UCGGACACUUGUCCAUUUUUUCCGCUCAAGUGGGCAUCUUUGUACCCCUAAUUCUACUUCGGACACUUGUCCAUUUUUACCUCUCGUCUCACUCUUUUUCUUUCUUUUUCCGAGGUUCCGGGCACUUGCCCCUUUUUAUUUCCUCGUAUAUUUUUGCAUAACCCAUGCUUCUUCUGCAUUGAAUCUUUUUAGUGAGUGAUAAUAUUUUUUUAGCAAUUUUAAUGAUUGAUGAUGAAUGCUGUGGU
rnacentral:lncRNA from 1 species